rnacentral:rRNA from 1 species
UACGUAGGGACCAAGCGUUGUUCGGAUUUACUGGGCGUAAAGGGCGCGUAGGCGGCAAUUCAAGUCAUCUGUGAAAUCUCCGGGCUUAACUCGGAACGGUCAGAUGAUACUGCUUUGCUAGAGUGCAGAAGGGGCAAUCGGAAUUCUUGGUGUAGCGGUGAAAUGCGUAGAUAUCGGGAGGAACACCUGUGGCGAAGGCGGCCACCUGGUUGGAUACUGACGCUGAGACGCGAAAGCGUGGGGAGCAAACAGG